GUGCAUGAUGAACAGGUUUUUGUAGUGUGUGUGUGUAAUUGUAUUUGGUAUCAGAUAAUUUAUUACAAAAUAGUAUUAUAUUAAAAAAAACUAUGAAAGAUAUAUGCAUGUUCAUUUAUAAAAAUAUUGUCCAAACUGUUAUAUUUGAAUGUGUUGUGCAUGAUGAACAUGUUUUUGUAGUGUGUGUGUAAUUUUGUUAAUUUAUUACAAAAUAGUAUUAUAUUAAAAAAAUUAUGUAAGAUAUAUGCCUGUUCAUUUUUAUGCAAAUACCCACCUGCUUACCAAUAAAUACUAAUAUGCUUACCAAUACUUCCCUGCAAAUACUUCCCUUCAUUUAAAAAAAAAACUUUUUUCGUAUGUCUAUGAAAAUACUUCCCUGCUUACCAAUAAAAUAUGCAGUACAGUGUUGUCCUUUACCUGAAUCAGUGCAAAUCAGUGCAUUCCUGUUGCAUAACAAUUCACAUGUUAAUAUAUUUGUAGGGAACACGGAUACAAUUGAGUGUGCCAAACAAACUAACCAAAAUGUUUGGAAACAAACUUAAAGAAGGUUUGGUUUAUCAAAUAAUGAAUUUCAUGGUCAAGAGAAAUGGUACGAAGUGGAAGGUGACAGAUCAUGUGCAUCGUCUUGAACUCACGCCAAAAACCAUGAUUUCGGAAGUAUUUCCAAAGUGUUUUCCAAACUAUAAGUUCUCAUUCAAAUCAUUUGAGGAUAUUUCUUCAAUUCAGACUACUGAUUCAGUAGGAAUGUUUGGUAUGUGUUUUAUUUUUUUGGUAUUUGUGGGUUUAUUGGUACUACAAUGUGCAGUUUGGUAACCUUGGAUUAUUUUGUAGAUGUUAUUGGAGUGAUAGCAGGGAAAGGGUUUGUGAAGAAUGACUCCGAGUCAAAAAUGGUUGAAUUAAAGUUGGAGGAUCAAAAGUAUAUGUUAAUCUUUAUUUAAGUUUUCUACAGUAUAAUCAUUAUGUUAGGUUUUUGUUAUUAUAAUAUGAUUUUAUUUAACAGCCACAAUCAAAUCUACUGCACUCUAUGGGAGGACUAUGUUGAUAUGUUCCUCAAUCAAGCUGAUGCUGCAGACACAAGGGUUCAGAUUAUUAUUAUUCAGCUUUGUCGCCCUAACUUUUAUCGUGGUAUGAAUUUUGUUUGAUUUUUUCAGGUUGUAUGUUGUGGAUAAUAUUAAUAGCUAACUUUGAUUGUAUGUAGGUGAGAUGCGAGCAUGCACAUCUUACAAUGCUUCUCAGAUUUUUCUAAAUUCUGAUAUUCCCGAAAUAGAAGAUUUUAGGAAGCAGUAAGUGUUUCAUGAUUGUGUAGUGUUGAUAUGCAUUUUAUAAUUGUUGUUUUUCUUUAGUAAUGUGUUGUUUAUGUGUAGGAUCAUUGGGAAUCAGUCAUUUUCAGCCAGGCUUGAAUUAUCAUUUGAAAAAAGUGUUGUUCAAACUGAUGAUUUCUUCAAUGGAAACAUAGUUGUUAAAAACGCUCGAUGAUAUUUUCACAGUUGAGGUAAUGCAUUUAAUAGCUAAGAAGAGUAAAUUUAGGAAAGAUUAUGUGUUUUAACAAAAGAACAGUUUCUUUGUUAUGAUUUUUGGCAGGAUGGGGAGCAUUGGAUCUGUGCCAAAAUAGACAAUGUUGACUGUUAUGCACAAUGGUGUUAUAACGCUUGCAGAAAAUGCACAAGAAAAGUGGAAAAGAAAACUGGAAGAUUUUAUUGUGGUAACUGUGACAAAUAUGAUGGAGUAGUUAAUAAGAGGUUAAGUAUAUUAAAUGCCAUUAGUAUUUAAUUUAUUCAAUAUGAUUUAAUAGGAUGUAUUGUACAAGUUUAUUAAAUUUUUCAUAUGUGAUUUAUAUCUAUUAUAGGUAUCAACUGAUUUUGAAUGUGGUUGAUUGUACCAAUAAUGCUUCUUUAUUGGUGUGGGAUAAGGAGGCUGUGGCCUUGGUUGGGAAAAAAGCUGUGCAAAUAUCAAUGAAUGACAAAGAGGCAGCUGAUGCCAAGAUUGUUCCAAAGGAGAUUGAUGUAGCUUUGAAUGAACGAGUUGUUAUGUUUAAGAUACAGAUGAGAUCAGAAGCAUCUUUUGUGGAGGAUAAGCCAUACACAGUUACUAAAGUUUGCACUGACCAACUGGUCAUUAAUCAUUUCUGGAAAGAGAACGAUGUUUGUGGGCUUUCUGCGACCCUGGAGGAUUUGUCUGACAAAGGUUAUUUAGAGCAGUGUGAGUCUUUAUCUCAAAUUUCAGAUAUAACAAUGGCUGGAGACCUUGGAAAGGUAUUGUGUACUUGUGUAUUUAAAUUGUUGUGUUUCUUACAAUUGGUUUAGUCACUGAAACCUAAUUUCAUUUACUUAAAUAGGAUUAAUGGAGAUGGGAAAAGCACCCCCAUGACUGUUUCACUUGCAGAGUCGCAUGUUUUAUCAAAGAUUUCCCAAAUUACAGAUAUAUCAGCUGCUGAAGAGCUUGGGAAGGUAUUGUAUACUUGUGUAUAUUAAUUGUUGUGUUUUUUACAAUUGGUUUAGACAUUGAAAUGUAUUUCAUUUCCUUAAAUAGGAUUAUGGAGAUGGGUUGAGCACCCCCCAUGAAUGUUUCACUUGCUGAGGUUUCAAUGUCAGCUUUCGGGAAGGUAUUGCAUGAUUUAUGCAUAUCAGUAUUUGUACUUUUUAAUUAGUGUUUAGUUACUUUAAAAUUAUUUAUUGUUUACUGAAAUAGGAUGGUGAUGGGAUGAUCACCCCAAAGGGUGAAACAUUAACCCAGAGUGCUGCAUCAUUGAAGAUUAUUAAGGAACCUAAUUGCCAUGAAUUAGUGAAGAGGAAGCUGCUAACUAAGGCUGAUAUUUGUGGGAUGUCUGCAUCUGCAGAGAAUUUGUUUGACAAAGGUUACUUGGAAGAUUGUGAGUCCUUAUCACAUAACACUGAUGUUUCAAUGGCUACAGUUUUUGGGAAGGUAUUGUAUGAUUUAUGAAUAUUAAUAUUUGUACUUUAAAUUAGUGUUUAGUUACUUUAACAUUUUUAUUGUUUACUGAAAUAGGAUUGUGAAGAUGGGAUGAUCACCCCAAAGAAGGUUACACAGACUGGGAGUGAUGCAUCAUCGAAGAUUAUUAAGGAACCUAAGUGCCAUGAAUCUGUGAAGAGGAAGCUGUUGGAUGAUUUCACAAAUGAAGAAAAUGAUAGGAAGAAGAAGGCGAGAGCUGUGAAAGUGAAGAUUGAAAAGAAUUGACGAAGCAAAUCCUUUUGUUUUUUGAACUGAUCUGUCUAAGGUUCUAAGUAGGAAUGGUCAUCUUAACUGUUAUUUCUAUUACAAACUCUAUGUUGCAGUACUUUUGUUAUGUUAGUUUUGGUUUGAUUGCAAAUAUUGAUGCUUACUUGAGUAAGCAUCAUAUAAUUUGCAGUCAAUAGAUUUAGAUGACCUUAUGUAUGAAUCUAGCAGUUUGUGUUGGUAGUAAUUAUUUUGUUUAAUCUGCAUGACCUUAUGUAUGAAUUUGCCAGUUUGUGUUGGUAGUAACUAUUUAGUUUUAUCUGGUAAAUGUGAUUUAGUUUUAAAUGUUAUUUCUAUACAUUUAUAAUCAUGUUUAACCAGCAUCAUUAACUAAAGUACAUAAUUUGCUAAGAAUUAUAAUAUUGUAUAUAUGCUAUAAUUAUUUCAGUUUUAUGUUACAGGCCUAUGAACUUAACUAAAUAUUAACUUAUACUAAUUUACUUUACUGGUGUAAGUCAAAGUUAAUAAUUUGUACUAUAUCUAUUUACUGUGGUUUAAUAGAUAGAAAGUACAAUCCUAUAUGAGUUACAUAUUCAAUUUACAUCAAAUUUCUCUUGACCAUGAAUCUUAUUUUCCAAAGUAUUAAUUACAGCUUUUAUAUAUUUGAAAGUUUGAUAUUUAAUGCACCUAUAGAUUUAUUUUUUAAUUAUGAGAUUUGAAGUUUGGAUUGUAUUCGAUUUUUUUUAUUAUUACAAGUUUCAUAUUUAAUGUACAUAUUUUUUUAACAGAGACAAUAUUUUACAUGCAGAGAUACUAUAAUUAAUGCAGAUAUUGUAUUUUAAAUAUUUAUGUUAUCAAACUGAUGUUAUAAUGUAUUAACGUUGAGUUGCUGAAUUGAAAUUUUAUUGAGAAAAAGAAAAACGAAAGUAACAAAGAAAAUAAUGUAUUAACGUUGAGUUAUUACAUAAAUAGAUAGUAACAGGGAAUUAAAAACAUCUAUUCAGUAAUUUCUUAACUCAUUUCAAGUUUUUGAAAAUAAAUAUAUCAUUAAAAAUAUUUUCAAUUCAAGUUAUUAAGAAGUCUUAUAUCUAAUAUAGGAUAUCAUAUAAAAAAUAUGAUCUUUUUUUUUCAAAUACAGAAAUUAUAAUCUUAUAUGAAUUACCUCUUCAGUUUAUAUUAAUUUAAUGUAAACUGAAUUUGUUUUUUUGAAGUGUGAAUUUAAUUACUAUUUCUUGUGUAUUUGAAGCUGAUAUCAUAUGAUUUAAUGCAGAUGUAGUUUUAUUUUUUCGUUAAAUGUCAUUCAGUGUCUAUGUUUAAUAUUUAUGUUAUCAAACAUAAACAAAUGACCACCGGGCAGGUCUACUCCAUUAAAUUUGAAAAAAAAAUCACAUAAUUGACCACCAGGCAGGGCUACUCCAUUAAAUUUGAAAAAAAUAAUCACAUAAUUGACCACCAGGCAGGCCAUCUCCGUGAUCACCAGGCAGAUCACACUCCAUUCAAAGUCUAACAUAAUUUACAAGUAAGGUGAUGUUACCUUAUGCAUAGUAGCCACAAUAUUUCAUAAGGAUUUUGUAUGGUGUUUUGAUCUUGGAGCCACAACAUCAGUAUAUGACCUGUAUUUUUAAGCAUAUAAAUCAGUAAAAUAGGAGAUAGAGAUAUUUAUGGGUAGAUCAUAAGUAUAUGGGCUGUACUUUCAACACAGUAAACUUUUCAUAAAUUUAAAGAUAUCUAUGGUUUAAGAUACUAAUGAACUCAAAAUUGAGAAAUAUGAAAGUGAGGAUUCAAUGAACUCAAUACUAAUGAAACUUUACAUAAAGUUAAAAUUUCUGUAUUAUGAAAGUGAGAAUUCAAUGAACUCAAUAUUGAAAAAUAUAAAAAGGAACCCAAAAUUCCCAAAAUGUCACAUAAGAUAUAUAAAUUUAGUUUUAUGAAUAUAAUAUUAAAAUUUAUAAAAUUCUAUUAUGUAUAUAUAUAUAUGUGAGUAUAAGUCUGAUCUGGGUUUUAAAAAGGCCGAGGCGCAUGAGGCGCAAACAUGCCUCGGAGCCUAGGCGCAGGGCUUUAAGCGCAGGCGCGGGCUUUUCGUAGGCGAGGCGCAGUAAAGCCUAAAAAAUUCUAAUAUAUUUACCUAAGGUAAGUGACGAACUGACUUCUAGAAUUUAGAUAAUGGGUAAUUCACUAAUUUGUAUAUAAAUUAAUAUUUAAUAGAUUAGUUCAUAUAGUACUAGAAUAUCCUAAUAUUUUAGAAUAAAUGAGCUGUAUACCUCCUGCACACCACACUAAUUUGCCUCACUCUUAAUUAAUAAUAUUUUAUUAGAAUAGUGGAAUAUCCUAAUAUUUUAGAAUAAAUGAUAUACAGCUGUAUACCUCCUGCACACCACACUAAUUUGCCUCACACUUAAUUAAUAAUAUUUUAUUAAUUAAGCCCACACUCCAUGCGCCUCGCUUAGGAAAAAAGUUAGCAUGUGUUGUUAUUUCCUAGGAACUGUGAGGAGGUAUUAUCUGUACUGUCUUGACAUUUGAAUACUUGCAGGUUAAUAACCACUGGAUAUUAGCUAAUUAACUUUUAUAUAAAUAAGUUUUGUAAUAAAGGCUCAUUUUUUCUCAUCUGCAGAUUCACUUACAGUGCUCAUAUUAGCAAAUCUCAGAAGCUUAUAUUACUCAAGAACAGUAAAGUUGAAGUUUCUUUACUUUUAACCAUUUUUGUUGUGAAAGUGAUUAUAUUAUUCUUCUACCUUUUUUUUAUACGUAGUUUUUUUAUUGUAGGUAAUUUUUUUUUAUAAAUUUUUACUAAUUUUUUCACAUAUUUUACAGGUGAUUCUAAAUGAGAAAGCUAACAAAAUCGUUGAAGAUUACUGGCGUCAGAUCAAAUGCAGAAAAUUCUACUGGUAUUUAUUAUAUUUCUAUCUUUGUGAAUAAUGUAUGAAAAUGAGUUCUUAUCUUGAUAUUGGUUCUUCAUUUUUGCUGUAGAUCUUGAGUAGACAGUGAAGUUUUUAUCUGCAUAAUAAACUUCAGUAGAUCUUCACGUUUCUGUUUUUUGCUCUCCAUUAUUUUUUACAUUUCUGUAAGAAAAUCACAUAAGUUUGAGUAUUAGUAAGGAAUGUCUUAGAUAAAGUGAAAAAUAUACAACAAAGAAAUUAAGUACACAGGAGGUAAGAUACUUAUCUUUUUUUGGCGGAUUUUUGUACAUGAAAAUUGUGCUUAAACUGUUUGGAAGGACAUUUAGUUAGUAAGUAUCGAAUUUCUGGUAAUACAAUUUAUUGAUGAAUAUAUUGAGCUAUAAAUUACUACCUCUUUGGCCUUCUUAUAAAGCCAUUCCAUAGGUAAUUGUUCCUUCCUGUAGAUCGAACUGGGGGCUCUGAAAUUUUUAAAUCAGCGUCUUCAAAUCUGAAAAGGAUUCGUGUUUUGGUGUUAGUUAAUUUUGAAACUUUAGUGUAAGUCUAAAGUAAGGGUUAAGAAAUCUCGGUAUUUGUACCUUUUUGCUCAUACUCUUCGGAUCUGAAAGGAUUCGGCGUUUCUGGUUCUUGGCUUCACCAAUUGUGCAUGUAGUGUCGGUAGGCGUGGCUGCACUUGCGAGAGACUUUCAGAUGUUGUGAGUUUUAGGCUCUGUAUUUGUACACACUGAAUAAGCGAGAUUUCUAAGUUUUCGAAGGGAUUUGGAUCAAAAAAUUGGUAGUUGUGUAGCUGUAAUUGAAGUUUGUGGAUGGUAUUGUGGAAUAGUUUUCAGAUUUGGAUGUGGAGAAGGAUGGGAUAUGCGGGGUAUGGAAUUAGGGUAAGAAUUUAGAGAGAAGACUCUAGAAUUCUAGAGUGAAGCGGCGCCUCCUAACCUUUAGAAUGAAGGUGGACUUGAAACCCUAGAAAUGAAGUUCUCUCUAUUUAUAUUAUUGUAUCUUUAUGGCAUAAUAAAUUUAGUUGUUGUGGUAGUUGGCAGCCAUAUAAGAUAAUUAUAAUUUAUAGUUUUUUGUGGUAAUAAGAAUGAUAGGAUAUUAGAUUGUAGUGGGUUCGAGAAUAAUAAGCCUGAUGGGCUUCAUAUAUGAAAAAUCAUGGCGUUAAUUUAUUUAAUUCAUGUCCAAAAUUAUUAUUUUUAGUUUGGGUCAUUUGUUUGGAUUAUCAUCUUUUUUCUAUUAUAUUGCUUCUAUUUUUUGUUUGUUAAAUAAGAAGGCCCGCAUUAAGCGAGAGGCCUGCUCUUAUAUCAUUGUUCCACUAAAAAAUUUAAUAUCUCCUCCCCUGAUAUUAUUUAGCUAGGUAUUAUUUAUCUUAGUUUUAUUUAUCACCAUUUAUCUCAAUUUAUAUAUCAAACACUGUGUUCAAAAUUAUCAUAUUAAUGUGAGUUGUUGAUUCGUAUGAAAAUACGUGGAUUAUUGAAUAUUUUGCAUUAUUUGUUCAAUUCCAAUAUACGUAACUAUCUAUUAUGAACAACAACUUAAUCAAAAAUAGCAGAAGUAUUAUCAUUUAAAAAAUAAUUAGAAACAACAUAAG
rnacentral:lncRNA from 1 species